rnacentral:rRNA from 1 species
UACGUAGGGAGCAAGCGUUAUCCGGAUUUACUGGGUGUAAAGGGCGCGCAGGCGGGCUUGCAAGUUGGGAGUGAAAUCCCGGGGCUCAACCCCGGAACUGCUUUCAAAACUGUGAGUCUUGAGUGAUGGAGAGGCAGGCGGAAUUCCCAGUGUAGCGAUGAAAUGCGUAGAUAUUGGGAGGAACACCAGUGGCGAAGGCGGCCUGCUGGACAUUAACUGACGCUGAGGCGCGAAAGCGUGGGGAGCAAACAGG